rnacentral:rRNA from 1 species
GACGAACGCCGGCGGCGUGCUUAACACAUGCAAGUCGAACGCUGAAACCAGAUGCUUGCAUUUGGUGGAUGAGUGGCGAACGGGUGAGUAACACGUGGGUGAUGUGCCCUACACUUUGGGAUAAGCCUGGGAAACUGGGUCUAAUACCGAAUAGUCACAUCAUCGUAGGGGUGGUGUGGAAAGCCUUGUGCGGUGUGGGAUGAGCAUGCGGCCUAUCACGUUGUGGGUGGGGUAAUGGCCUACCAAGGCGUCGACGGGUAGCCGGCCUGAGAGGGUGUACGGCCACAUUGGGACUGGGACACGGCCCAGACUCCUACGGGAGGCAGCAGUGGGGAAUAUUGCACAAUGGGCGCAAGCCUGAUGCAGCGACGCCGCGUGGGGGAUGACGGCCUUCGGGUUGUAAACUCCUUUCGCUAGGGACGAAGCCUAUGGUGACGGUACCUGGAGAAGAAGCACCGGCUAACUACGUGCCAGCAGCCGCCGCCGUAA